rnacentral:lncRNA from 1 species
UGGUUACGGUGGUGGUGGAUGCUCUACCAACAUUUAACUUACCUCUGGCUUGGUGAUCAACUGGAUAGUGUCCCGUGAAAGCUAAAGCUCUAGAGUACAGCAGUCACUCGGCUAUGGAGGGGGAAUAAUAAAAGAACAUUCUUCCCUUGAGCCGUGGACUCCAUUGGGAAGAGGUGAGCUCCCAGAAUCCUGGGAGGAUCUUGCUCUGGUGACACUGAUGAGGCUGGUGGCGGGAGAAGGGAGUGGUUUUUACGUAGGGGUGAGGAUGGAAGGCUUAAGUCUGUGAGAGCCACCAAUGGUCGCGGUCGCCCUUCCUCCACAGGGGCAGAGCUGGGCCGGCAGGGAGGGGAGCCUGGGGAAGGUGCGCUCUUAGCAGAGUAGGAAACUUGUCUUUGACCCCUAGGACUUGGCAAGAGCACAUGACCCACAGCCCCUGCCCACCCCGCAGCGGAGGGGCUCCAUUUCAUCCAGGGGUCUGCUAUGAAGGAAUCCUGUGGCACAACACCCCCUCUCCCUUUUGUCUUCUCUGCAAAUCUGACUUUUCAUAGGUUAGGUCUCCUUGCUGGAAACUGGAGCUUUAAAGAAUAGUUUCAAAAUAGUUGAGAAAUGGCCUGUUCAUUUUGAAUGGUAUUCAACUCCAUGAAACUACAGUGUUGGGAGAUAUCUGGACACCCCAUAACAAUGGGUCUUGUAACAAAAAAGAAAGUGUUCCUUAAAUUAAAAAAAAAAAAAUUGGCACAUCAAUUUGAUUUUCAAAACUUGAAAUGAAUUGCCAUCCUGAAUUUGGAAGUUUUCACCCGGCAGGCCUGGAAGAAGGUGACAUAUAUUCAGUCCCAGGGAACGCCAUCAGUGGCAGAGGGGAGCUGGGGUUAGGGUCAUAUGUUAGUUAGAUGUUAAGGCCUGUCAGGGACCCGGCACCUCAGGUCAGCAGCGCCCUCCUGCAGGGGCAGGCAGGGACUUUUGGACCUUUAUGACGCAGAGUUGGUGCCCAGUCCCUUUCUCAGGUGCAGGCCCUUGUCCUCGCUGUUGGGCCCCCUCCCGUUUCCUCAGUGGCAUGAGACCCCCUGGGUGGGUCUGGUGUGGGAACACGCUCUGCCACUGCAGUUCCCCUCGGGGAUGUCACACCACCACUUGCUCUUGGGUUUGCCAUUCGGCAGAGCUCUCACCGUGCUCCGAAACACAGGGACUCUCCAUGUUAGAAGUCCCCUUAGAAAGCUGAAGACCUUUCCGACAUCCUUCUAGUUGCUUGUGCCCGUGGCCGUCUCAAGCUGCCCUGCCCCUGAGUGAAUUUCUCUUUCUGGCCUUCUCCGGUGUUGCCAAGGGAAGACCAGCUACGACAUCACAUGAUUGAUUCUUGGACAAGGUCCCCAGGGUGGAUCUACUCUUGGGCGACCGACUUCUCUGGCCUAGGACUUGAUACUUUAUUGACAUUUAACGUAGCCUCUGACUCCAAGGAAUUGGAUAUUAUUAUCCUCAUGAUUUAUGGGAAAAUAAACUUUAGAAUAUUGGAUGUUUGGAAUAAUAGCCUCCUCUGACAUCACAUGGGUUUUUGCAAUUUCUAUUUAAGGUUAGAUUUUACAUGUGAGGGAUGCUAUUAUCAUUCUCAUCUUAGACAGCAAGGGAUAUGGGCAAGAAGCAUAGCUUUCAUGCUGUUAAAUCGUGCAGUGAUUAAAACAAUCAACCAGCACUUACUUUGGAUUAUUUAUAUCUUUCCAUGCACAGGACCAGGCAGGAGGGCAGCGGAUUCACCUGCUUUCCUCGGGCCCAGGGGAGCUGCAGGCAGAGUGCCGUCUUCAUCAUGACUGGUCCCUUUAUACGCGAUGCCUACUGACAGGUGCCUCACAGGACCACAGGAGGCGGGGCAGGCGGAAUACCUCUCUCCUUGGGCCUCCUGCUCCAAGUGUGCCUAGACUCUAAAACGGCUUGUGCUAUUGUUUGAAUGUGUGCCCCCAAAUUCAUGUGCUAAAAACUUUCACCCCAGUGCAGCAGUGCAGAGAAGUGGCACCUCUAAGAGGUGGUUAGAUCCCGAGGACUCCGUCUUCAGGAGGGUGUUAAUGCCAUCAUGGGAGGUGGGGGGCCAUUACUGCAGGAAUGCUCCUGAGGAAAGGGGGACUUCCGCCCCUUCUCCCUCUCAUAUCUGUGCUCUUCGGCUCUAGUGUGAUGCAGCAAGAAAGCCCUCACCUGGGACUUCCCAGCGUCCAGGCCAUGAGCCAGCUAAACUUCCAUUGCUCAGAAAUGACUCAGUUUGUGGCUUUCUGUUAUAGCAGCAUGCAGCACACUGAGACUGCUUUCUUGGCAGAAAAAAGCAGAAUACCCAGAUUCUAUCCUAAGAUGCCGAGCCAUUCUGCGGCUCCUUAUGCACCACAAAUGGUAGGAUCAAAACACCAGACCUAAAAUUUCCCAGUGAAGUUGAUGGGGCUCAACCCCCGUUGGCCGGGUGCCUUGGGUGGUUAGCCAUCUCCUACUCCUCCUUCAGUCACUCCACCUUCAGCUCAUUCUGUCACCUUGCUGUCAGAGACUUGACGUCUCUGGUGCUCUACUUCUGCUUUCUUCACCCAGGCCCAGCUAUUUACCUUCCCAGAUACCGACUUCCUCCUGAAAAAGGUGACAACGGCUUCUGGUCCUUUUUGCUCUCAUGCUGCACACAGAUUGUCCUCUGCAAACUUGAUCCAGGCUGCUUCCCUGGACACUGUUUGGAAAGAAGGGCCCCUGACCAGAGGGAGCUCUAGAAACAAACACAACUUUCUUGUGGAGCUGCGGCCAGCCUGCCUUUCUGCCCACCUCCAUCCUGGGAUCCAGGGGUCCAUGCCAGACAGUCCUGCCUCAGCCGCCCUCACGAUUCCAAGGGGGAAAACAAAUCUACAGAAGGGAGAGAGUAUUUCAGUGAGAGGAUGUGGCCUGGGGAGAGAAAUAGGAAUGAGAACUGGUUUGAUCAGAACUCAUGCUUCAAGUUGGAGUUUUCAAGUGUUUCAAGGAGGAGGAUCAGUGGGGUAAAAAUAUUAAAGACUAGUGUUAAGGAAUUUGGAAUCCAUUAGUUAAAAACCAUUUGAGAUAGUUUCAUAACAUUAUUGAUAUUAGCAUUUUUAUUUACUGAGAAAAAAUGUGUAAGAUAUUUCACUAUGAUUGAUGAGUGUUUAUGUUCCUUGAAGUUUUCUUUAAUUGUUGUUUUACUUAUUUUGAGACUGUGUUAUUCAUUGCAUACCAGUUGAGAAUUGCUAUACUUCCUUAUGAAUUAACCUUUAUCAUCAUAAAGUGGCUACCUUAUCUGAAAUAAUGAAUUUUGUCUGCAAUUCUAGUUCAUAUGAUACUAAUAUUAUACCACCAAUUUUCUUUUGGCUAGUAUUUGACCCAGAGUAAAAUAUUCUUUGUUGCUGGACCAUCUUGGAAAUGUUCCUUUCGCGCUUUUAACCUAUAUUAACUAUGUAAUUCUGUUUCUUCUCCCCACUGCCAUUUAAUAGUACCCCCAAACCUGGGCUUGAACCUACAGGUAUAUGUAUACAGGGAUGCACAUACUAACUUGUAUGUGCUGCUUGUUACUAUCUCCCAAAGAGAGUUUAUUGUAUGAAUCUUAAGCUCAUUUGAGACUCAUUUCACAACUUACCUCCAGUCUCACAUUUAUCACCACCUCUCAUCCUUUUUCCCUAAAAAACGAACUCCUUCCCUAUAUCUCCUACUCCCUUCUUUUUUCUUGAGUGUGGAGCCUAGGAGUCAUCCCUCUCUUGUUUGUUUAGCUUUCACCAGCCUGGGUCCAGUGGCCUUGGCUGGAGAGGCCAACAGAACCUCAGCACAGGCUCCCAGGAGAGGCUAAAGGCUGGCAUGCAGGGGAAAGAAAAGCUAAUAUGUAGAACAUCUGCCAAAUUCUUCCUCUUCCUCUGAAAUUCUGAUCCUUUGAAGCCCUUGAUUGUCCUGGAAAGUUUUGCAAUCCAAGGUCCCCAAAUUCUCAAGUGAGGUCUUUAGUAAAAGUGAAAUUCAGUGAAAUCCCUGGCAACAUCUCCCUGGAUGGGAAAAGGAAUCAGGAAUCAGAUUCCUGAUCUGGGAAUCUGUGUAUCACAAUAUGGUAAGGUGUGUGCUCAGGGCUUGAGCAGGGAAGGGCCUGUCCAGCUGAGAAUGACCUCCUCCUCCCUACCAGAAUCUUGUUCCCAACUCUACCUGAAGCCCAGGAUGGAGAGAGAGAGAGAAAAAAAAAUCCUUCUUAGAAGAUUUUCCAUUAUUUUUCUCCAUGUGAUCAGCACGGAUGAAAGAAUUCUGUGAUUGAGUUGAGGGUCACAUCUAACUAUUGGACCAUGGCAACAGAUACUGAGCAUCACAAUUGGUUGUCACAUAGGACUUUCGUGGGGUUUGGAGUUUUAAAUGCCAUUGUUGUUCUCUAUAUGGUAACCCCCUCAGCGCUCUCACUUACGCUCUCUCUCUCUCUCUCUCUCUCUCUCUGUCUCUCUCUCUUCCUCUCCCCCCCACCCGCCCUCUCAGGUGAAUUCAGGUGCCCUGGUGUCUGUAAAAGUCUUGUCUUUAGAAAUCCUUGCCCAGCUUUCUUUCACUCAGAGAAUUGGUUUUCUCUCAAGAAAAUGCUCUUUCCUUUUACUGCACAGUGAACUGGGAGCCCUAAAAGGAGUGGACGGAGACAAAAGUGAGGCCAGUGGAAUUUGCCAUAUUGGACCCCAGGAGAUGAGAGAAUUAUCAUUCAGUUCUCUGAAACCUGAAGUUUUAGGGGUCUAUUGAGAGGAUAAAAAAAUGUUCCUUGGUUUUUGUGACCUACUUAAACAUUCUUUGCAAGCUGUAAUCAUUUGAGGUUUUCUAAGACAAGAGGAGAAAAUAGUCUAAAUAUAACCCUGAAAGGCAGGUAACCUGACAACAAAGCAACCCAUCUGCAGAGAUGAUUUCUCUGGAAACUGGCAAAACAGGCGAUUUCCCUGGUCAUUCCUGGCGUGCCUGCUACCACACCUCAUCCCUGCUCUGGAUUCCUGGUGGCACUACUGGCCUUUUUUCCAAAUGUCGUGCCAGGGCCACCCACAUCCCAUUCCUCCCACCUGGAACACCCAGCUCACUCCUCCCCCAAGCCUUUCCCACCUACCUUCAAAAUGCAGUUUGAGACCCUUCACAGAGAUUGACUCAAAGCCAGCUCUUCCAUUAAGCCUGUGGUUCUGUCUCCAGCCCCUCGAGACUCUGGGAACCUUCGUCCAGUGUGCUGUAAGGUAGGGACAGCAGGGAAUGCAGGGCCAGCCGUUUGGUCCAGUGGUGGAGGUGGACCUGUGCUGUCUGCCCGCACUCUGCCGUGGAGUCUGCCCUGUGAGGAGCACCAGUUCUGUGCCAGCGGGGCUGCAGGUGCAGGCCAACCAAGAACGGCAUGGAGCUCGCUCAGCUCAGCUGACCAGCUGCACCCUCGCAGCCACAGGUCACCCCUCCUUGCUCUUUAUGCAUAUUGGCAUUCCAUCUUUUCUCCCGGGUGGCAGGUGUUUCCAGAGACGGUGCCUGAGUAUAUUAAGGGAUGUGGCAGAGUAGAAAGGUGGUAAGAGCAGUCAGCACAUGUGAGAAUGUGGUGAUCUUGCAGGCCUUCCACCAUAAGGAUGCACUUGAUCCUUGGAACCACACCAUAAAUGCCACAAAGGAGGCAUUACUCUCAUUUUAAGGAUUAGAAAAUUAAAACACAGAGGACACGCAGUCAGUAAAGGCCAAAGCCCAGGCUCUUGACCCUAAGCCCUCGACCCAUCUAGGUUUUGGAGUCACACAACACACACAGGGCUGAACUCACACUGACUGGACUCAGGAAGAGGCACGGUCAUCUGGUAUUCUUAUUCAAUCUCUUUCAAUCUGAUUUGAAAAAGUGACAGAGAGAAAGUUAUGCAGCUUAGAUAUUUAGCUCUAGAUGAGCCUGGACAUCACAGUCAAGGCGGUCACCAAGGGUGGGCAGGGACCAGCACUUAGCAGGUGCAGUGAGUGCACUCAUCAUGUUGGGGAGCCGAACAGGACUCCCACGAAGUCGUUUCUGUCCCUCUCAGGUUCUCUACGCCAGGGUGACACUGUGGUUUUAAUAGUUUUAGGUGUUAAAGUCAUUAGAAGGUAAGUAGGAACCAUCACUGAAACUUUUCUUAUUUUAUAUGAAAGGGAAAGUUUAAAACCUUGCAUUUAACAACUAACUGGAAUAAAAGUUCUAACUUUUAUUUAGAACUGCCAUAUCAUCGAACAUAAUGUUUUCUUUUUCACUGUCUGAAUCUGAAACUUUCAGGAUUAUUUUGUUAAGAUCUGAAAAGGUAAUUUGACAUACUGAUCUAUAAAGUGUGAAUUACCCCAGGGGUUAGGAGGUAAGUUUCUGUAGUAAUUAGUGUGCCAGAAAUAAUUUCCUCCCUCUCCCCCGCCCCUUCCCCCCACGUACUCGCUUUACUCCGGGUCUCUCAAGUCAUUCUUCCAGGACUGCCUAAUGUAAUGAAUUCCUCCCCCUCCACCCUAGGGAGGACCAUUAUUGCCAUUCUCUUGUGGAGCUGUGUGCUUUCUUGUUGACCUCGUGGUAUAUCACAGAACUGUAAAAUUCUAGCUGUCAGUAAUGUGCUGGGAAAGGCAAUUUUAAUGGGGUGAUUUUUUUCUGCAAGCGAGGGUUAGGCAGGACCCUCUCUCUAUCUUUCCCGCUUUCUUGGUUCUGUACUCAGGAUCUUGGUGAGAUUUGAGGCUAUCUGGCAAAGUCCACGUUCUCCCACUUACCAGCCCGCUGGUCCUGAGAAGCUAUUGAUAGUCACUGAGCCAUGUGUAAAACUGGGAUGAAAACAUUUGCCUCCCUCCCCCACCAGGGCUGUAGAGUAUCCUGGUUAUUCACAGAAAGUGGAAAUGCUUUGUAUGCUCCUAAGUUUUAUUUUGAUAAAUGAGGACAACUGCCAAGUUGUGCAUGCCCAGGAGCCAGGUGCUCUAGAUCCGCUAUUGAAAUAUCCGCACCAAGUCC